CUUAACACAUGCAAGUCGAACGGAAACGAUGGAAGCUUGCUUCCAGGCGUCGAGUGGCGGACGGGUGAGUAACGCGUAGGAAUCUGCCAGAUAGUGGGGGAUAGCCCGGAGAAAUCCGGAUUAAUACCGCAUAAUCUCCAUGGAGUAAAGAGGGCCUCUAUUUAUAAGCUUUCGCUAUCUGAUGAGCCUGCGUAAGAUUAGCUAGUUGGUGGGGUAAUGGCCUACCAAGGCGACGAUCUUUAGCUGGUCUGAGAGGAUGAUCAGCCACACUGGGACUGAGACACGGCCCAGACUCCUACGGGAGGCAGCAGUGGGGAAUAUUGGACAAUGGGGGCAACCCUGAUCCAGCAAUACCGCGUGUGUGAAGAAGGCCUGAGGGUUGUAAAGCACUUUCCCUUGUGAAGAAAAGUUAAUAGUUAAUACCUAUUAGCCUUGACGUUAACUUUAGAAGAAGCACCGGCUAACUCCGUGCCAGCAGCCGCGGUAAUACGGAGGGUGCAAGCGUUAAUCGGAAUUACUGGGCGUAAAGCGUGCGUAGGCGGUUGACUAAGUCAGAUGUGAAAGCCCCGGGCUUAACCUGGGAACUGCAUUUGAAACUGGUCAACUAGAGUAUGGUAGAGGAAAGUGGAAUUUCUGGUGUAGCGGUGAAAUGCGUAGAUAUCAGAAGGAACAUCGAUGGCGAAGGCAGCUUUCUGGACCAAUACUGACGCUGAGGUACGAAAGCGUGGGUAGCAAACAGGAUUAGAUACCCUGGUAGUCCACGCCGUAAACGAUGAUAACUAGCCGUUGGGAGGGUUUACCUCUUAGUGGCGAAGCUAACGCGUUAAGUUAUCCGCCUGGGGAGUACGGCCGCAAGGCUAAAACUCAAAGGAAUUGACGGGGACCCGCACAAGCGGUGGAGCAUGUGGUUUAAUUCGAUGCAACGCGAAGAACCUUACCUGGU
rnacentral:rRNA from 1 species